rnacentral:rRNA from 1 species
UACGUAGGGUGCAAGCGUUGUCCGGAAUUAUUGGGCGUAAAGAGCUCGUAGGCGGUUCGUCGCGUCGGCUGUGAAAUCCCGAGGCUCAACCUCGGGUCUGCAGUCGAUACGGGCGGACUGGAGUUCGGCAGGGGAGACUGGAAUUCCUGGUGUAGCGGUGAAAUGCGCAGAUAUCAGGAGGAACACCGGUGGCGAAGGCGGGUCUCUGGGCCGAUGCUGACGCUGAGGAGCGAAAGCGUGGGGAGCGAACAGG